GAAGAAGUCUGCUGCCGAUUAGCAUAAUUAGCCAAAUUAUCUUCAUUUCAUCGGAGAUUGGAAGUGAUAACGACAAAAGUUCUUUAGCUGAAGCUGAAGCUGACUCUGAUGCGGUCGGUGAGGCAGAGCAUCAUCGAGCAGCGCUUCCCCGAGUUUGUGAGGAACUUCAUGAGGAGGAUGUUCUCCAGCGGCGAGACGUAUCCUGGCUGGGCCGUGGACGCCCUCGCAUCAGUCAACAUCACUCUGGAAUAAAAUGUCUUUAUAUUUAUAUUUGUGUAUAUAAUAUGCUUGUAUGCAAAUUUUUAUGCUUCUUUUUUAUUUUAUUUUUUUAUUAAAAUUUAAAAUAAUUAAAAUAAAUAGAAAAUUAAAAUAAUUAAAAUUCAUUUAUUUUAUUUUAUAUUUUUUGGGCUCAUGGACUUCUCCCUUCCAGACUUCCACAUCUGUACAGAUGUUCAUUGGUCUGUUUUUAACCGAUGACUAAUUUUUACUACUGUAUCUGGUUUUUAUUUCAAAUAAAACAAACAAAAACACUGUUA